GGGGGGGGGGGGGGGAGGGGGGGGUGGUUGAGAAUGUAUUUAUAAUUUUUCCUUCCCAUCAAGAAAAAUGUAUGUGAUUACUAUGAGAUCUGGUCUGUCAUUUAAAAUUUUAUUUUUGUCCUUUUAUUUCCUAGAUCCAGGAAGAGUUCAGACGUAUCACAACAGUUUAUUUGGAGGAGACGUUCAUGCUAAAGCUUGAUGAGUACACACCAGGUCUUAUGCAGCUUAUGCGUGCUAAAGGAGGGGCUGCUGGUUCCAAGAUGCACCCUCUAUUGGACACUUUAAAUGACGUAUGUUAUUUUACUUUUUUUCACAAAUGUCAUUAUUUAUAUAAGUGAAUUAAAAGUGAAUUAAUUUGUAAAGAAUUGCUUUGUUGUGCACAAAGUUGAGCUCCUUACCAACUUAAACUACCCUUUGGUUUUUAAACAAUUCGGUCUUAGUGUAUGCAAUUCUCUCCCCACCCUCCACUAACAGUCUUUUCACUAAAUUGUAUCUUCCUACAGACACAGAGCAUUGAGAAAAAAGGGAUGCAGUUGUCUGCUGCCUCAUUAACUACCUUGGUGAAAGACAAGAAGAUCUUUUCCAUGACUGCCAGGGAUGUGAGGACUACACAGACAAAACAAUGAAGGUGAUUGUGAUGCACAACAUCAUGUCUGAGGAGGAUCCAUCAGAUGUGACGAUUGUGAUUGAGGGAAACCAAGUGAUGGAAGGAUGUGGAAGCCGAACAAAGGCAUGUGUACAGCUGAUGGGACUGAUAUAUGCCCUCAACCUUGGCUAUUCAAAGCAGCUGAAGAACACAUUUGAAGCUUUUCAAAAACUCUUUUUGGAACUUGAUGGGGAGAAACUACUGAAGAAGGUCCACAGCCUCAAAAACAAGCUCAUGCAAUAGACAUACAUUUAUCUCUUGUUCCAAGAGGAUCUUUUGUCUGGACAGAGAGUUUUAAUGGAGUAUAGUUUUAUAUUUUUGUUCUCUUCCGUCCUCUGCUCCACACACAGACACAGAAAUAUAUGUACAGAUGGAUACAUAGGUAUGUUGCAGCCUCUCUCAGCCCACUCCAUUGUUCUCUGAUUUCUCCACAUUGACAGAAAUGGAAAAGCAAUAGAAACUGGCCAGUCUGGUCAAUACCUCUGAGUGAAUCCUGAAGAAUUUUGAACUCACCCUGUUUCCCUCCCCAUUUGUUUUUUUCUUUUAUUCUCAUCCUGUCUCUGAGAGUGAGAGCAAGCGCAGAAACUAAAGAAUGUUGAUUUUCUGAUCUGUCUUUAUCCAGAUGUUUGAUACUGUACACACACAGAAACAAUCGUAGAGUUUGUGUGUGGGUUUUGUGGCUUUUAAAAUAGAGUAAGGGGCCUCUGAAAGUGUUGUUUGCAUUGACCAAUUAUCCAGAAAGAACAUUUGAAGCCAUUAGCUUAGUGCGUUAUAAAACUGGUUUAUUCAUUGAAAUGUUGUGUGAAGCUGUGUACUGCACUUUAUUCAUUUUUUGAUAAUUUAGUGUAUUAUUGCUGCAUAUAAAUAAGGCAGUUCAGUUAUUUGUUGUGUAUUAAUACACCUGCAGAUCUGCAGAUUUGCUCAGUCACUGUUGUGUGAGGCUGAAGAAACACAAGUAAGAGAUUAGAUACAGGAAAAUCUUCAUGUAAUUGGACACCUCUGCUCUGAUCACCUCACUUCUCCUUUUCCUUUAUUAUUGAGCAGUCUGGAUGUCCUAAAACAAGGAAAUGUUUUAUUGCCCAACAUUACUGAAACAGCAUUUGAAGUUGUUAGGUUAUAACACAGGUUCAUUAUUUGAAAUAUUGUGUGACACUGUUGUGCUGCAGUUUAUUCUGUGUUUUUGUUUUUGAUGACUUUAUGUAUUAAAAACAAUGAGAAGGUGUAUGAUCUGAAUGUCUUUUUUGGGGUACAUCUUACCUUCUCUGAAUAAGUAAUGGUUAUUAACUGAUUUUAAUUAACUUUGAUUUGUAAUUGUCAGGUAUUACCUACUAGCAAACAAGACAUAGUUUUACCUAAUUUAAAUGAGUAAGUAGCUGUUGAAUAUAUACAUAAAUAUGAGGUAAAUUUUAAACAAUUUCUUUAAGUAUUUCAUAUAUUUUUUGUUCAGUUAUUUUAUACUCAAUAUAUGGAAUUGAAUCUACCCCAAAAGAGUCAAUGCAAAUUGUUACCUCACAUUUAUUGGGUAAAUUCUAUAGGUUACUUUUUUCAGUGUGGUGUCCAGAAAACGACGUGGGCUACAUUGAUAACUGCCGAACUUUCUGGGGAAAACCUGUUCUGAUCCGGAGACACGGCAUUCAUCCCAUUUUGGAUGGUGCGGCUCUUCUUUUUAGGAAUCUGGCCGGAUUUAUUAGUUCUCCUAAAUGCUGACAACCCAGGGUCCAGACCAGGAAGCAGAGCCGUAGUUUAACACACCUCUCUGCAGCUUCUGUACUAGUUAUUGAGACACUGUCAUUCCCACGGCCAAAACUGAACAGAUCAAAAACAGAUCUAAAA